UACGUAGGGGGCAAGCGUUGUCCGGAUUUAUUGGGCGUAAAGAGCUCGUAGGCGGUUCCGUAAGUCGUGAAGUCAAAUCUCUGGGCUCAACCCAGAAUCGCUUCCGAUACUGCGGUGACUGGAGUCCGGUAGGGGAGUGUGGAAUUCCUGGUGUAGCAGUGAAAUGCGCAGAUAUCAGGAGGAACACCAACAGCGAAGGCAGCACUCUGGGCCGGUACUGACGCUGAGGAGCGAAAGCAUGGGGAGCGAACAGG
rnacentral:rRNA from 1 species